rnacentral:lncRNA from 1 species
AGGGCCUCGGGCUACAACACAGCCGCUAGUCCCGGCUUGUCCCUGUGAUGGGCCCCGUUCGCUCCCCAUCCCUGGACAAAAGUUUGGUCCUGAUCUCUCCCAGUUUUUGAUGGCGGCUUGUUUAUUUCCCCUAGACCUCUGGCUCUAGCCUCGCUAACAGUGUCCGAGCUGGAAGCCGGCGAUCUGGAAAUCUAGGUUCAGCACUCCCAGCACAGCCCCCACACUGGACACAAGUUUCCCGGUGCUCGCCGCAGUCCCGGCCACCGCGUCGGCCCGCUCGCCGCGUUCCAAGCGCUCUCAGACCCCUCCCUCACCGCUCUCCUCCUAAGGAAACUUGACCCUCGCCAGCCGCCGUCGCCAAGCCCCGACUUACUCGCUCUUGUCCAGCUGCUCGCCAGGCUCAAACUCCGCACGCCGUUACCCGGGCUCAGGGGGCGGGGCUUCGAUGUGGCAGCUGAGCUGAGAGGUUAUACCUAACUUGUCCAAAGUGACAAGGGGAUGGAGGACCUGCCACCCCGGGAAAUCUUUGCCCUUCCUGCUCCUCUCUUUGGAUGAUUUACUUCCAAAUUCUAGCACAACUGCCUCCUUGUCACUCAGUCGUUCACCACCACCACCCCUGUCUGUCAUGUGAAUGGUUUUUUUUUUUUUUUCAUACC